rnacentral:rRNA from 1 species
AGAAUCAACGCUGGCGGCGUGCCUAACACAUGCAAGUCGCACGAGAAAGUGGAGCAAUCCAUGAGUAAAGUGGCGCACGGGUGAGUAACACGUGAAUUAUCUACCUCCGAGUGGGGAAUAACUGAGAGAAAUCUGGGCUAAUACCGCAUAAUACCUUCGGGUCAAAGGAGCAAUUCGCUUAAGGAGGGGGUCGCGGCCGAUUAGUUAGUUGGCGGGGUAAUGGCCCACCAAGACUAUGAUCGGUA